GGUCCAGUGGUGUAGUGGUAACACGUUGCGUUCGGACGUGAAGAGGAGUGGUUCAAUUCCUUUCCGUGCCA
rnacentral:tRNA from 1 species